rnacentral:rRNA from 1 species
GAUGAACGCUGGCGGCGUGCCUAAUACAUGCAAGUCGAACGGACAGACGCCGAGCGUGUUCUUCUGAGGUUAGCGGGUGACGGGCGAGUAACACGUGGAUAACCUACCUGUCAGUCUGGGAUGACUAAGAGAGAGCGAGUCCUGUUACGGCCAAUAUCUUUAAACGCGUGGCUUAAUUGUUAAAGACGGGUUUGCUGUCACUUAUAGAUGGACCCGCGCCGCAUUAGUUGGUUGGUAAGGUAACGGCUUAACAAGGCAAGGAUGGGUAGCCGAACUGAGAGGAUGGUCGGCCACACUGGAACUGAGACACGGUCCAGACUCCUACAGGAGGCAGCAGUCGAGAAUCUUACGCGAUGGAGCAAAAGCUGACGGAGCAACACCGGCUGAGUGCUGAAGGACCUCGGAUGGGAAAGCGCUGAUAGUAGGGAGAUACAAAUGUGUAGGUAACUAGGCCCGUAUUGACGGUACCUAAUCAGAAAGCCCCGGCUAACUACGUG